rnacentral:tRNA from 1 species
GGUUCCAUAGUGUAGCGGUUAUCACGUCUGCUUUACACGCAGAAGGCCCCGGUGGAACCA